CGCGGCCUCUGGCAACAGCUGCCGUGAUGGGGCAGGAGUCAGCAGAAGCCAUAGUAGGCGCAGGAC
rnacentral:ncRNA from 1 species